GCUACAAACAAAAAAUAUCUUCCUUUAGAUAACAUUCCUUUUCUUCGUUAGACAUACCAUCGAACAUUAGACAGAUAUGGCAAUACACAUCUCCUUCGAUAAUAAAUUCAAUGUUAAUAGAUCUUGUAUUGUAUUACUCAGAUAACAUUAAUGGUGUGACAAGAGUUAUUUAAUAUGAUUAAUAAUAUUGCCGGAAAAAAAAGCAUAUCCGCGAAUAAGAUAGAUAUUAAUUACUUUUCAUUGAUUCUCAAUCUCAAUAACGAUAAAACGAUAAAGCAUACACUUAAGAAAUAUUCAUGUUUCUCAAAAUGAUUCUUGAAGAACGUAUGAAAAAGGCAACGGAUGAUAGAUAUUAUUUGAUAUUUGCGUUGUCGAUAAUAACAAAUAAUAAGAACUUUAGGAGAUGCUUGUGUAAGAAAAUGAAAAAACAAUUUAUCGUGAAAUAUAUAAUAUUAUAUCGCAUUCUUAUGCGACGAUCGUUUAAUCGUUCUUAAAGAAAAUGACACACACCUCUUACCAUCGAACAUUUACGAUGGAUUUGUCGAACACACAUGAUAGGAAGAAUUAUUCAGUAGCAUUCUUGUACUUCAUUUCACUGCAUAGUAGAGUGAUAAGCAUCAUGGAUUUUUCACAUAGCAUCCAGCGGGCUGAGUGUGACAGUGCAUGCACUGAAGCGAAACAUAUGUACAUACAUGCUAAAACGAAAACAAUAACAAAAUAACAACAUUCAUCAAAAUCUGUAUAGCACAACUUUCGAAUGAAUAAAAUAUUAUAGAUACCUCGAACAUAAGGAGGGGAAGCAUGACAAUUUCCAUGGCAGCUACGUGGCAAAACUAGUGAAAGGCGCCUCAAAGCUUCUGCUAGGCGGCCUGCAGCCCCAAUUUGUUCACUCUCAGCGAAAUCGAAUUGCUCUCCGAUGUUAUCUUCAAAUAGAAGCAAACGGUAAUCCGAAUAUUUUAAUAAUUAAUUUGAAUUCUACAAAAUUUGGCUUUUCUUUCAAAUAUUUCUCCUAUAUUGUAAUGUGUCAAAAAAGCUUGGUGUUACGAACGAUCAUUAAAGGAAAUAUGUCAAUAUAUGUGGGGGGUUUUCACUUUACAAUAGCUAAUCUCAAAUAUUAUCGAUAUUAGAAUCCUUUAGAUAUUAACAAUAUCUAUCAUUUUAAUAUAGUCUAACGAAAAUAUGAAUGUAUAAAAAAAAAGAAAAAGA